CCUACGGGAGGCAGCAGUGAGGAAUAUUGGUCAAUGGACGAGAGUCUGAACCAGCCAAGUAGCGUGAAGGAUGACUGCCCUAUGGGUUGUAAACUUCUUUUAUAUGGGAAUAAAACAGGGUAUGCAUACUCUUUUGUAUGUACCAUAUGAAUAAGGAUCGGCUAACUCCGUGCCAGCAGCCGCGGUAAUACGGAGGAUCCGAGCGUUAUCCGGAUUUAUUGGGUUUAAAGGGAGCGUAGGUGGAUUGUUAAGUCAGUUGUGAAAGUUUGCGGCUCAACCGUAAAAUUGCAGUUGAAACUGGCUGUCUUGAGUGCAGCAGAGGUAGGCGGAAUUCGUGGUGUAGCGGUGAAAUGCUUAGAUAUCACGAAGAACUCCGAUUGCGAAGGCAGCUUACUGGACUGCAACUGACACUGAUGCUCGAAAGUGUGGGUAUCAAACAGGAUUAGAUACCCCGGUAGUC
rnacentral:rRNA from 1 species